rnacentral:lncRNA from 1 species
GUGGCAUUUUCCCCGCUCCUCUGGCCGCCGAAGGAGUCCUGUGGUGCCGGGCAGGAAUGGGCUGCUUGGGGACCCAACGAGCUCCCAGAGCCUUUCCUGCUGCUUCCUCUACCCCUGUGUUUCGCUAGGCUCUCGAGAUGGACUCAGUUCCAGAUUGCCCAGCCUCACAUAUUCCUUCAUAGCAACACAAAGGGACUGAGACAAUAUAUAAGUUAACAUCUGCCAUGUAGUGGAGGUUCCAGAGAAAAAGUGAGAGAAGCUGAGUCUGCACCCUCAACAUGGAGGAAAUAAGCUCUCUUAGGACCAAGAACAGAGGACAGAGGAAGGACUCCAGCAUGAUGGGCACCAAGGGAUUUUGGUCCUUCUGAGAAAGAGGAGAGACAGGGUCUUCCUCUUUGCCUAAGCUGGAGCGCAUUGGUGUGAUCAUCGCUCACUGCUGCCUCAAACUCCUGGGCUCAUGCGACCCUCCCACCUCAGCCUCCUGACUAGUUGGGACUACAGAAUUGGUUCCUUCCAGUGAGUUCUUGGUCUCGCUGACUUCAAGAAUGAAGCCACAGACCUGUGCGAUGAGUGUUACAGCUCUUAAAGAUGGUGUGUCCAGAGUUUGUUCCUUCAGAUGUUCAGAUGUGUCCGGAGUUUCUUCCUUCUGGUGGGUUUGUCCUCUCGCUAACUUCCAAGAAUGAAGCCGUGGACGUUCACAGUCAAGAUCUAAGCAAACACACAAAUGUGAACAACAGGGAAAGAACCCAUUGACCUACCAAGACAGGCUGCCAACAGAAUUUUGAAGGCUUGCCAAGAUGCUUUUAUGGAGGUAGAGUGAAUGAGAUUCCGUAAGUGCAAAAUAAUCCUUUUAAGACUACCCAGAAAGUAAUAUAAGUGAACUAGUUAUAUAAGAUUCAGUGAGGACUACCAAAACAUUGGGAAGAAAUGUGGAUUUUAUCAUUCAAGGAAAUAUAAUUUUAUUGUAAGAUAUAAUCUUUGUUUUUGUAGUCAAAUAGAAACAUUCAUGCCUUAAUACAACGUUUGGUAAAAAGAACUGAAGAAGACACCAUAGAAGAUUUUAACAAACAAUGAACUCAUUAGCUAAAAGAUUUGUCAUGAAAUAAUGAUUGAUUUAGUUGUUUUCUAAAAUAUUUCUAGUGCCUAUUAGAUGUUGAAGGAGACUUUGAUCAUGAAGUGUGUUCUCUGAGGAGCUGCUAUUUUUAUUUUUAUAUUUGUUUGAAGUGAAUUGUCCUGCUAAUUCUUUAACAUAAAAUAUCUUCAAUUACAUGAUUCAACAUUUUAAAAAGUGAUUAAGACAGAAGAAUAUGUGCUGGGAUUUAUUUUUGGAUCUUUGAAGUAGCAAAGAGUAGCAGAACUCCUUAAUCCAUAGAGUGGUUAUUUUGCUGUAUGAUGACUCUUGUAUUUACUCCCUGAAUUACCCUUUCCACUAAAAAGUAUUAAUGAGACAUUAGUAGGCUAUAGAAAAAAAUACUUCUGAUCUACUUAGAAAUAUUCAUGAGGUUUUCUCCUGGUGGAUUCACAUCAAAUUUUAUUUUUUAAAACCCCAAGUAUUUUUAUUUGAUGAUUAAUAAGUAAGAUGGAGGCUGGUAGGUGGAAAUCGCCAGCAGGAAAAUAAAAUGCUUUGGCUAAGCCGACAACUGCUACUGUCCUCCUCUGUACAGACUCUCCUGCUGAAGACUCACGGAGGCUUAUUUCAAGUCUUCUUUAGUUCAUUACCUGCAUGUUCAAAUGGAGCUGGUACUGUGACUCACAGCUUUCUGUCCAAGAAUGCGAUUUGUACCUCUACAAAUCUUCUACACCUUCUUCAUCUAGUAAACACUUACUCUACAGGUCUCAUCUCAAAUCUAUUACUAUAUGCAACUAUAGUACAUAAGCAAGCCAUUUAAAAAUGUUAAAGGAAGAUAUGCAUUGAUAUGGGUUGGCUGUUUUCCCACCCAAAUCUCAUCUUGAAUCGUAGCUCCCAUAAUCCACACGUGUCAUGGGAGGGACCCAAUGGAAGGUAAUUAAAUAAUCGGGGUGGGUUUUUCCCAUGCUGCUCUCAUGAUAGUAAAUAAGUCUCAUGAAAUCUGAUGGUUUCAUAAUAUAAAGGGCAGUUCCCCUGCACAUGCUCUCUUGCCUGCCACCAUGUAAGAUGGGCCUUUGCUCCUCCUUUGCCUUCUGCCAUGAUUGUGAGGCCUCUCCA